GGCAUGGUGCCAGAGUGGUUAAUGGGUAUGACUCGAAGACUUCUAUCAUAUGCAGUCAUCAGUAAUCAUAUGGCUUCGGCCGCAGCGGUUCAAAUCCGCUCCAUGUCG